AACAAUUCUUCACCUUCCACAGAUUAUUAAUAAUGUCUUGAUAAUUGCUGAACACAACUGUUAAUGUCAUUACAGGAAGAUGAUGGAGAAACAUUGUCUGCAGCAUUUGAAAGGGAAGAGGAAAGGCCUAUUGAGGAUGAAAUCGAAUUCAAUGAGAGGCCAUCCACUUCUAGCUCUACUUCACAGCUUACCUCUCUUCCAGUCAAAGAGCUCUAUAAAAUCUAUCUGGGAAAACAAAUAAACAAAGCAGACUUGGAAAUGGACCACAUUAGGCAAAAGAUGCAAAAGGAUGCUUUGGAGAUCCAAAUUUUGGAACAUAAGUUAAAGGAAAUAAAGAAAUCCUCAUAAAAAGUAGAUUGUCUUUAUUAGAACACGGGCUGUGGUGGGACAAGUUAUUUUGUUGAACAGUGUCACCCCCUACCAGAGGCUGGGUCUGUCACACGAGUUUACUAUCAUACAGGAAGGCGAAAGAAUGCCAAAGAAAACAUUUCGGAAAUAAUAAAAUACAUUUAACUACAUAGAAAACUCAAACAAAAUGAUUUUGGCAGAGUCUUUCUCUAACCACCCUUCCGUCCUGUGGAUCCAUGGCAUGGUUUGGGUUUAUGUGCUGCUCAUCUGCAACUGCAGGUGGGCAAUUUUCCCCUCUCAAAAUCGCGAUGUUGUGUAGAACCACACAUGCAAUUAUUAUGUCACAUGCCCUUUCUGGUGUGACUCGCAGCAUUUGGAGGCACUGGAAUCUUGCCUUCAGGAUCCCGAACGUGUUUUCGA